rnacentral:rRNA from 1 species
GACGAACGCUGGCGGCGUGCUUAACACAUGCAAGUCGAACGGAAAGGCCCUGCUUUUGUGGGGUGCUCGAGUGGCGAAAGGGUGAGUAACACGUGAGUAACCUGCCCUUUACUUUGGGAUAACUUCAGGAAACUGGGGCUAAUACCGGAUAUGAGCUCCUGCUGCAUGGUGGGGGUUGGAAAGUUUCGGCGGUUGGGGAUGGACUCGCGGUUUAUCAGCUUGUUGGUGGGGUAGUGGAUUACCAAGGCUUUGACGGGUUGCCGGCCUGAGAGGGUGACCGGCCACAUUGGGACUGGGAUACGGCCCAGAGUCCUACGGGAGGCAGCAGUGGGGAAUAUUGCACAAUGGGCGGAAGCCUGAUGCAGCAACGCCGCGUGCGGGAUGACGGCCGUCGGGUUGUAACCCGCUUUCGCCUGUGACGAAGCGUGAGUGACGGUAAUGGGUAAAGAAGCACCGGCUAACUACGUG